rnacentral:snoRNA from 1 species
AAGACUAUUUGCAAGGAUCAUUCUAGAGUUGAAAAUGUUUUGAAGGAUGGUCUCGGUAUCCACCAGUAGGAGUGGGAGUGUUUUCUUCUCAGCACCGAGCUGACAAUGAGUGUUGUUUUCGGGCACCUGCUCGCUGCUAGUGAUGACACUCCAUCUGCAGUCGGGGGUUGUUGAAGGAAGGGGACACAUUUUGAGUGCG